rnacentral:rRNA from 1 species
AUACGUAGGGGGCGAGCGUUGUCCGGAAUUACUGGGCGUAAAGGGUGCGUAGGCGGCAGACUAAGUCUUGUGUGAAAUACCCGGGCUCAACCCGGGGGUUGCAUGGGAAACUGGACUGCUUGAGUACAGGAGAGGCAAGCGGAAUUCCUAGUGUAGCGGUGAAAUGCGUAGAUAUUAGGAGGAACACCAGUGGCGAAGGCGGCUUGCUGGACUGAAACUGACGCUGAGGCACGAAAGCGUGGGGAGC